rnacentral:rRNA from 1 species
UUCCGGUUGAUCCUGCCGGCGACCACCGCUAUUGGAAUCCGCUUAAGACAUGCGAGUUUAAAGGACUUCGGUCCUUGGCGUACGGCUCAGUAACACGCGGACAAUCUGCCCUAGGGUGGGGGAUAAUCUCGGAAAACUGAGCAUAAUACCCCAUAGGUCAUGGAUGCUGGAAUGCUUCAUGGUUAAAAGCCCAGGCGCCCUAGGAUGAGUCUGCGGCCUAUCAGGUAGUAGUGGGUGUAACGGACCCACUAGCCAGUGACGGGUAUGGGCGUUGGGAGACGUCGCCCAGAGAUGGAUUCUGAGACACGAAUCCAGGCCCCACGGGGCGCAGCAGUCGCGAAAACUUGGCAAUGCGGGAAACCGCGACCAGGGGAUUCCAAGUGCAUGCACACUGUGUAUGCUGUUUCAUUGUCUUAAAAACAUAGAAAGUAAGGGCUGGGUAAGACAGGUGCCAGCCGCCGCGGUAAUACCUGCAGCCCGAGUGGUGGCCGAUAUUAUUGAGCCUAAAGCGUCCGUAGCCGGUCUGGUAAAUUCUUGGGUAAAUCGAGCAGCUUAACUGUUCGAAUUCCGAGGAGGCUGCCAGACUUGGGACCGGGAGAGGCUAAAGGUACUCCAGGGGUAGGGGCUAAAUCCUGUAAUCCUUGGGGGACCACCAGUGGCGAAGGCGUUUAGCUAGAACGGAUCCGACGGUAAGGGACGAAACCCUGGGGCGCAAACCGGAUUAGAUACCCGGGUAGUCCAGGGCGUAAACGCUGCAGACUUGGUGUUGGGGACCCUACGAGGGUGCCCAGUGCCGGAGUGAAGAUGUUAAGUCUGCCGCUUGGGGAGUACGUCCGCAAGGAUGAAACUUAAAGGAAUUGGCGGGAGAGCACAGCAACGGGAGGAGCGUGCGGUUCAAUUGGAUUCAACGCCGG